GGGGGUAUAGCUCAGCUGGGAGAGCGCUUGAAUGGCAUUCAAGAGGUCAGCGGUUCGAUCCCGCUUAUCUCCACCA
rnacentral:tRNA from 255 species